UCUCUCUCUCUCUCUCUCUCGCUUUGUCAGUUCCUGUUUCACACAGCGCAGAAGAAAACCACUUUCAAUUUAGGUUCUCUGUUCAAAUGUGGUGUCUUCGUCCAGAUACUGACUUCUUCGAGCUCCUUCUUCAGCCCUAAAACUAACAUCUGCUGCUCUGCUUACACGGAUUCCUUCACUGCUUUCCAUGUCUACUACCUUCAGUCAGUCUCGGAACAGUUCUGGCAGUUCCCGGCUACAGCUGCACCAGCUUUCCGCCGUUGGUAGUGCUUCUAGGUUGAGAUCCUCUUCUCUCAAGAAGCGUCCUGAGCCCCUUCGUUAUGCCAUCGCCGAUUGUCUCUCUUCCGCUGCUGCUGCUACCUCGCACCAUGGGAAUCCCUGCGUUGCUGUCACUGAAGCUUCUAGAACUCUUUGU
rnacentral:misc_RNA from 1 species